GGAUUGACGAUGACUUUAAAAAAAAAAAAUCUCAUUGAAAUCUGAAAAAAAUGAGUGACCAAACCACUUCUGUGAGCUGAGGUCC
ensembl:snoRNA SNORD116-30 small nucleolar RNA, C/D box 116-30